rnacentral:rRNA from 1 species
GAUGAACGCUGGCGGCGUGCCUAAUACAUGCAAGUCGAGCGAACGGACGAGAAGCUUGCUUUUCUGAUGUUAGCGGCGGACGGGUGAGUAACACGUGGAUAACCUACCUAUAAGACUGGGAUAACUUCGGGAAACCGGAGCUAAUACCGGAUAAUAUUUUGAACCGCAUGGUUCAAAAGUGAAAGACGGUCUUGCUGUCACUUAUAGAUGGAUCCGCGCUGCAUUAGCUAGUUGGUAAGGUAACGGCUUACCAAGGCAACGAUGCAUAGCCGACCUGAGAGGGGGAUAGGCCACACGGGAACUGAAACACGGUCCUGACGCCUACGGGAGGCAGCAGUAGGGAAUCGUCCGCAAUGGGCGAAAGCCUGACGGAGCAACGCCGCGUGAGUGAUGAAGGUCUUCGGAUCGUAAAACUCUGUUAUUAGGGAAGAACAUAUGUGUAAGUAACUGUGCACAUCUUGACGGUACCUAAUCAGAAAGCCACGGCUAACUACGUG